rnacentral:rRNA from 1 species
UACGUAGGGUGCAAGCGUUAAUCGGAAUUACUGGGCGUAAAGCGUGCGCAGGCGGUUGUGCAAGACAGGUGUGAAAUCCCCGGGCUUAACCUGGGAACCGCACUUGUGACUGCACAGCUAGAGUACGGCAGAGGGGGAUGGAAUUCCGCGUGUAGCAGUGAAAUGCGUAGAUAUGCGGAGGAACACCGAUGGCGAAGGCAGUCCCCUGGGCCUGUACUGACGCUCAUGCAAGAAAGCGUGGGGAGCAAGCAGG